rnacentral:rRNA from 1 species
UACGUAGGGUGCAAGCGUUAUCCGGAAUUAUUGGGCGUAAAGAGCUCGUAGGCGGUUUGUCGCGUCUGCUGUGAAAACUGGGGGCUCAACCCCCAGCCUGCAGUGGGUACGGGCAGGCUAGAGUGUGGUAGGGGAGACUGGAAUUCCUGGUGUAGCGGUGAAAUGCGCAGAUAUCAGGAGGAACACCGGUGGCGAAGGCGGGUCUCUGGGCCGAUACUGACGCUGAGGAGCGAAAGCGUGGGGAGCGAACAGG